UGUGCUUGAUCACUGCAGUGAGGACACCAACCUUCCACGCCUUCUUCAGAUCAUGAGGCUUCUUGUAAGGUAGAGAACCUUGGUCCUUCUGCAAACCCAAUUGAGGCCACCAAUCCUCCUGUCCUGUGGGCCACCAUGGUGGUGGAACACCUUUCUCCAAUGGAAAUCUUCUCUGAGGAGGAUCACAGUGCUGCAUCAAAGCUGAUAAUAACGAACCAAGGGUGGUAUCUUGCAGCUCCUGCAAGGUGUGAGGUGUAGGACCAACUGGAUUUGAUACCUCAUUCUUGCCUGGAAUGGCAUGCUCAGCUUGGUAUUUGGCUAUAGACGCAGGACCAUUGCGAUCAAAUCUCACUUUAUCCUUCCACCACUCCCUAAGAUUAUCAGAUGCCCCACCAACCGGCUUGCCUUUUUCCGGAAUGAUCCCAUAAACAAAACCCUGAGCUUUACAUACUUCCAUCAU